UACGUAGGGGGCGAGCGUUGUCCGGAUCUAUUGGGCGUAAAGAGCGUGUAGGCGGCCAGGUAGGUCUGCUGUGAAAACUCGAGGCUCAACCUCGAGACGUCGGCGGAAACCAUCUGGCUAGAGUCCGGAAGAGGAGAGUGGAAUUCCUGGUGUAGCGGUGAAAUGCGCAGAUAUUCGCAAGAACACCAGUGGCGAAGGCGGCUCACUGGCCCGGUACUGACGCUGAGGUGCGAAAGCGUGGGGAUCAACAGGG
rnacentral:rRNA from 1 species